ensembl:lncRNA
AUGAGCAGCACUGCCAGCUGUCCAUCAUCACCUCCGCUGGCCAAUGAGAGAAGACGUCCAUCUUCGCAUUCAUCCCCAGGCUCCUCCCACACGACCAAACUGUUUAUUCCGCUCUGGUGUACCGGCAGAGCGAAGCAGGGACCUAAAGAGACACAUUUCAGUAAAAAUGGGGACACACCCCCACACACAAACACAGCAUCUCACUCACCGUCACAGCUCCCUCCUUCCACCGCCGCCGUCCAGUCCCACACACACACCACCCCGUCUGUGGCCGCGGUGAACCCCAACACACACCUGGGAGGGGACAUCAGUCAGAGUCGUGACACAACCGCUGGGGUGGCGAGGUUCCGUUCCUCACCGCUCGCCCGACGGGUCCUGGAGGCUGAGGCGGGCGACGCUGAGGACGCAGCGCUGAUGAUGGAAACUCUCCCACAGCGGGUCGGCCACGCCCGCCGACUCGCACACCCCGAACAUCCUGAGAGGGACAGAGGUGAAGGUGGAGACAAAUUCCACAUUCCCGCAGGCGGAACCGGACGCCGGGACAACACACCUCACGGCUCCAUCGCUGCAGGCCAGCGCCAGGACGACUCUGUCUUUCCCAGCAUGCACCACUCCCAUAGACAUGUACCUGCGAGCACACAAGACAUAAAAAGAGUCUUUUGUGGUGUUUCUACGCCCUCUAGUGUCCAGAUCAGACCAUCACCUUGUCUCCGGGUCCAUUUUCACAGUCUUGUGUCGGUUCUUCUGUUUCUCCCAACGUUGGUCCAGUCGGUGGCUGAUGACCUGGGUCACCUGGCAGGUGGCUUCUCCAUCCCAACCAAUCCGGAGCCUGUAGCCCUGCAGCUGGGCCCGCCCACCAGCCGAAAACAGCAGACAGGAAAAGGAGGAGUCGUCUCCGCCUCCGUCCGCCUCCAGCGGCAGCGCGGCCAGCGUCCGCACGCUGGAGAGGUGGUCUGUGACGACGCUGAGGACGCGGACCACGCCCGUCUCCGCUUGGACGGCCAGGACGCUCACGUUGGUGUCGUCGCCGCCCGUGGCCAAGACUUCCCAUUGGCCCAGGUUCCCGAGGCGACACACGCACCCUAUCCCCCGGCCGUGGAGCCCCUCCCUCAGCAUGUGCCCAGUUGCCAUAGUAACACUGCCAGCCGGUGA